rnacentral:misc_RNA from 1 species
UUCUGACUGAUGGAUUGACACUGGA